GCUCAAGACCUAAAUACCCUAAAAGCAUCAGGUCUUGUCUGAUCUUAGAAGCUAGGUAGGGUAGACCUGGUUAGUACUUGGAUGGAAGACUGCCAAAAAUGCAAGGUGCUAUAAGCU
rnacentral:rRNA from 1 species